ACCUUUUCGUGACGUUUCCACUUCCGCUUGUCAGAAAUUUCUCGUUGUCGUCGCGCGAACUUUUCAGGACCCAAAAUGAAGGGCGGUUACCGGUGCACUGUUGCCAUGGCGACAGUUUUCGCCGUCGUCGCCCUGCUGUGUUGCCAAAUAAACGCGAGUCGGGACGAGGAAUUGAAGAAUUUGAACGAGCUGGUGGAUGAUUUUACGCCAUGUGGGGCUCGUUGCCACCUCAUGUACGAAGGCAAAGGUGACUUUGAGCGCUUCAAUGGUUGUUUCCGGAAUGCUACGGAACGUCACGCGUACCUCAACUCCUUUUCCUCUCAGCCUCAGUCUGCCAAGUACGGAAUCAACCAAUUCUCUUCCCUCUCACCCAACGAAUUCCGAGAUUUGUACCUGCGAGCAACCUCUGAGCGCACUCCGCCGUUCCUCAGGGCCAAGGCUAAGGAGCUGCCGGCCAAAUUUGACUGGAGGGACCGAGCAGUGGUGGGGCCUGUCCAGAACCAGCAAGCAUGCGGCAGCUGCUGGGCGUUUAGCGUGGUGGGCGCCGUGCAGGCGGCCAACGCCAUCGCGGGCUCGCGGCUGGAGGAACUCAGCGUGCAGCAAGUGGUGGACUGCUGCUUUCAAAAUGGAGGCUGCAACGGAGGUUCUCCGACCAAAGCCCUCCUCUGGUUGCGGACGACCCAAGUGAAACUGGUGCCACAGUCGGACUACCCCUACACGGCCAAGAACGGAAUGUGUCACUUCUUUCUCCGGCCUCAAGGGGGCGUUGGCGUGGGGAACUUCACUGUGCACAACUUCAGCGGUCAGGAGGAGGCCAUGAAGGCUGAGCUGGCGGAGCGAGGUCCUCUGUCCGUCGUGGUGGACGCGGUCAGCUGGCAGGACUACUUGGGAGGAAUAAUCCAGCACCACUGCUCCAGUCGCUGGCCCAACCACGCCGUGCUGCUGGUGGGAUACGAUGCCACAGGGGAAAUUCCUUUCUGGAUAGUGCAGAACUCCUGGGGCAAAGACUGGGGCAGCGAGGGUUACGUGUACGUCAAAAUCGGCGGCAAUCUCUGCGGGUUCGGUCGUAAUCGAUGGAGAGGAUGUUACGUCCGUUCACCUGUCGGGAAGUAACCAGAGUCGAGUUUGGAGUGUUGGACCUGGACAUACACUACACUGGAUGCAGAGGUGGGAGUAAGUCACCUAUGUGCAAGCCAAAGGUGAAACCCAAAUGAAAACGGCGAGCUGGAUCUGGUGGGUCACUGCUCCACUUGGCCCCGAUGCAAGCGGACUGCAACAGCGAACCUCUCCGACCAGAGCUGUUCCAGAGUUUGCUGCUUUCUUCUUGGCACCCGUUUUUAAAGGUCAGCUCGAUCUGGUGUGCCACGUCUACACCCAUACAACCGGACCUGCACCAGAUUCUGUGAGCGGUCGCGCCGACGUCAAGUCGUUGGAGCCCAGGAAGGUGGAGAUGACGCCGUUCUGGUCUACCUUGCGGAUGCACCUCCAAGGGGAAUCGCAAUUUCUACGGCUUGAAUUAAGACUUAAAAAAAAACUUUCAUGAGGUGAAUGCGUUCGGCUCGAGGAGUCCUUGGAAGAGUUCGCCGCCUCGUUUGACCGCGUGAGAGUCUCAAACUGAUGAGGAGUGUCACAUCUGAGCAGAGUUCAUCAAAAUGUCUGCAAGAAAGAUGGAGUGAGAGCGGAAAACACACACAGGGAAAAAAAAAAAAGCCAUCUGCUGUUUCUUCCGCGGUCUCGCCUUCUACCCACUCCAUCAUUACAGACUUUCUCGCCUGGGCUGAAAUGUUCGCAUCGAGUGCAGUUGGCGUCGGGAGCCGGCGGCGGCGAAAGCAAAAGCAGUCUUUUGGUUGGCGCUUUUCAUCUCGUGGUAUUUACAGAAAAGUGAACAAUUGCAGUGCAAAUGGCACAAGUGGACUGCCACAGCCAACAGGUUGUACUCAGCGAAAACUUUAUGGACAGUUUUUGCAACAACAAUAACAAAAAAAAAAAAAAAAUAAAUAAAAAAAACA